ACGUAGGAUGCGAGCGUUGUCCGGAUUUACUGGGUGUAAAGGGAGCGCAGGCGGAUCGGUAAGUCAGUGGUGAAAUCCUCAGGCUCAACCUGGGAACUGCCACUGAUACUGCUGAUCUUGAGUGUGGAAGAGGUCGAUGGAAUUCCUGGUGUAGCAGUGAAAUGCGUAGAUAUCAGGAAGAACACCGAUGGCGAAGGCAGUCGACUGGUCCACAACUGACGCUCAUGCUCGAAAGCGUGGGGAUCAAACAGGAUUAGAUACCCUGGUAGUCCACGCCCUAAACGAUGGAUGCUCGAUGUCGGCCCGCAAGGGUCGGUGUCUAAGCUAACGCAUUAAGCAUCCCACCUGGGAAGUACGAUCGCAAGGUUG
rnacentral:rRNA from 1 species